AGAGAUAGCUUGAGCCGGAUUUUUAGAGAGGAUAGCUGGAGGAGAGCUUGAGUAAAGGGAGGAACGCAUUCAGACUAGAGAGAGUGGAGAGCAGACCUAUUUUAAGAGGGCAUUCUUUUUAGCUUGGGGCGUGUUUCUUUGAUUUUGAGGUGAGUUUCUCUCUUACUUGGAUUCCUAUACUUCUCAUCUCUUUCCCAUUUGCUUGUUUCGCAUUUGUUUGUCGAAGUUUGGGUGUGGAUGAUAAUGGAUACAUGCUUAACUCCGUUGAUUUCUGGAUCAUGCUCUUACUUUGUUGUUUUUUAUCUCAUUGUCAUCCUUGUGGUUUAGUAUGGGGCUCGUAUGACUUUGCUUUAUGUAUGCUGUGCUAACCCAGUUUCAGGAUCCCACCUAUUUUGAGCCUCCUGAGAUGAGGCCCUAUACGUUUGAGUGUGUUGCCUGUUAUCCUACUGGUUCUAUUCUCAGCAUUCACUCUAACCUCUGUUGUUGUUUUCAUCCCUAUAUUCUCACUAUAAUGGGAAUAUUAUUUGGUCUGAGGUUUGAAUAAAAUGAGUCGAGCCAUACCUAUGGUUCUGGCUUUCCUGUUGAUAGCUUGUGGCUAAAAGAAAAAAAGGGGUUGAUGGGGAAUUACGACCAGCAGCUAGAGGCUUCUUGACCCUCUUCUUUGCCUGUAUUACAGCCAUUUGCAUCGGAGCAUCAUCAGUAUGUGGUUGUUAUUUCCACUGCAGUAAUUACAGCAAUCACCAACCUACCCUACCUAAAUACCUAUAAACCCAUUCAUUCCUCUUACAUACGAGAACCAUUGUGGUUUUCUUUUAUUAUUAUUUUCUUGCUUGGGAAUCAUCACAUGGCAAUGAAGUCAAUGGAAGUUUUUUUGUGGGCCAUCCUGGAAUGUACAUGCCCAUUUUUCUUUUGGUCUUACACGUUUUCAUUCUAACCUCUAAGUCUUACUUUAGUUUAUCUUAUUAUUAUUAUUAUUAUUAUUAUUAUUAUUAUUAUUAUUUUCUAAAUUUCACCUUCAAAUAAAUUUUUCAAAAAGUUUAGCUACUAAAUUUAAUUUUUAAAAUAUCAUUUAAAAAUAAAUCUUCAAGAAAUAAUAACAAUAAUUAUAAAUUCCGAUUUCUAAAUUCCAAUCCCCAAUUCCCAUAAUUCUAAUUUUUCACACUUAUUUAUUUAAUUAUUAUUAUUUUCUUAUCAUUAUUCCAUUUAUCUAUUUAUUUAUUUCCUUUAAAAAUCUCAAUCAUUAAAGUUCAAUUUUUCAAAAAUUUGUUUUUUUAAAUUUAAUUUUCAAUCUCAAAAAUUUCACUAUUCACUAUUCAUCCGUCCAAAUAUCGUUUUAUUAAUUAAUAACCUUAUUCCAUAUUUACCUAUUUAUUUCCCUUAAAAACCUCAAUCAUUAAAAUCUAGUUUUUCAAAAUUCCGAUUUCCAAAUUUAGCUAUAUGAGAUUUCAAUUGUCCUAUUUCCGAACUUAAGUUUCAUUUCCUAAUGUUCCAAUUACCGUAUUUACUCAAUCACUCAUUUGUUAUCAUCAUUAUUUUUAUUACCAUUUUAUUUGUUCAUUUCUAAAAAGUCUGUCUUCAAAUGAUUUUCGAGAUUUCCAAUUUUCAUAAAUCAACUUUCAUAAUUUCUACUUCUCAAUUAACUUACAGUUCUGAUCUCUUUCAAAAUUCAACUCCCAAAGUCUCAAUUUUUGCAACUUAAUCUUUCUUUAAAAUCCCGAACCCUCAAAUCGUUUUCAAAAUUCCAACCUCUUUCAAAUUCAGUUUUCUAAAAAUUCACAUUCUCACAUUCAACCUCUAAGAGUCUGAUCUUCAAAUAAACUCUAAAACUCCAAAUUUCUAGUGAUUUUCGAGAUUCCAAUUUUUCAACGAAAUUUCAAAAACCUAAUUUUCUCCCGAACAGUUUUAAUUCCACUUUGGUUUUCAAAUAAUCUUUUAUUUUCUCUCUUAAUUUUAUAUAAGCAUGAAUGUCAUUUUCAUAAUUUCAGAACAAUGGAAUUUGUGAGAUUAAUUCGUGCAAGAUCAAUCGGGCUUUGGUGGGGGCCCCACAUACGUGAUUUUAUGAUUGAUUGAUUUGUUUGUCACGCGCGAUUUAUUUAUCCUGCUCUCCGACAUGCAUGCUAUUAUUACUUAAUUGUGCACUAACCUCUCUUGUGAUAGCGCAUGGUGGCUCGUCGCCCAGGUACGCACCUAUUUUCACUCUGAUAAUUGUCCAAGCAUAUUUUGAUUCUCACGUGUGCAUGAUUUAUUCUGGGUACUCAUUGAUCUACUCGUCCACUGCCAUGAUUGUUUCAUUUUAUUAGUAGAGACCCGACUUUAGGGACUUAGAGGGGUGCUACGGUCUUUACCGUACCUUCCCGAUAAGUAACCUGACCCCCGAACCCGAUCCGGUUUUUCGUAGAUCACCUUUUCCAAAAUAAGGAGUCGCACUUAAGGUUUUCUUUCUUAUUUUGUUUACCCUUUUAAAAAACAAAAAUAAGUGGCGACUCCAAGUCAUUUUCAAAUAAUCAAUAAAAAUCAAUUUUUUUGAAAUAAAAAUCGAGCUCGCCAUUGAGUGGGAAAUGCAUUGAGCGAGCGAAAUGCGGGGUCCACAAAAUGGCGACUCCACUGGGGAUUUUUAGAGGGUCAAGCUUGAACUUAAGAUGAAGCGAACAUGGCUUUUGAUGAGUCUAUUAGUGGAUACUCACUUCUUGAUUGCACAUUGAGGGUUCUCGUGUUUUCACUUGGGACAUUGACAUGAUUGAUUGUAUUGGUCGAUUAUCUUGAUUGGAGAUUCUGACACAGUGAUUUUCUUUGUGCUUCAUUGAUAUAUUUGUUUAAGAUAUUUGACAUGAUGAUUAUGAUGAUUGAUUCGUAUUGAUAGAGGAUUCCGAGAUAGCUAUUUUCUCUGUGCUUCAUUGCCAUAUUCUUUUGAGAUGUUGACAUGCUGAUUAUAUUGAUUGAUCAUUUCGUAUUGCUUAGCGCAUUGAUCCUGAUUUUGCCAUGAUUAUUCUGAUCACUUCACAUGCAUACACUCACCAGUGUAUAUCAUUUGACUUGAUAUGUUGAUUCUCUGACUUGCAUAUUAUCUUGAUCGUCUUUUGAGCAUGAUGUUCAUAUCGCUAUUCAUCCUGAUAGUUGUAGCUUUUUGUGUGGACAUGAGUGAUAUAUCCUGUACUUUGCUUGACUGUAUGACGCGUGACUGCCUUCCUUCUGCAUGAUUGCAUGUUGCCUGUCUAUGUGGGCCGCACAUAUAUCCCCUUUCCUCCAACUCUCUUGGUUUCGGUCAUUCCUUUCAUCCCGGUUCUCACUAUUGCAAGUGUGAGACCUUCUGUGUGUUUGCUCUCUGACCGAGCCAGAGAUUAGGAGUAGGGUCUAGCGACGGGCUAUAUCGAUGUACGGGAGCAUUCUGGAGGAGAGCGACACUUUGAUGUCGAUUGGAGUCCGAUCAUUGAAGACCUGUAUAGCCCGGAGCUAGGUUUCAUGGAUAUUUGUGUGGCCAGUGUGUUUCAUAUCCUGCUUUAGCUUCUUAGGGUUUCGGAUGCACCCACACCAUCACUGUGCACGCUAGUAGACUAUUGAGUGUUGAGAGUUUGACAGGUUUCACCAUAGGAAACCCCCUGGGAUGCGAGGUAGUGCAUGUGUGGAGGUGAUGACCACCUUGCAUGGAAGCGCCUCGUUUCUUCGGAGGCGUGCAGAGGGUUGCGUACCGCCGGAGGGUAUGAUCGCUUCUGCUAGGGAUAUUUUAAAGUCCACCCUUAUCCAUUUAGAGCCACCUUGACCUUGUAGGUUGAGCCGUAGAUCCUUCGAUUAGGAUUCCCUCCCUACACGUGGGUGCAUCUGAGGGCUUUCCGUGCCCCUGUAGCCGCAGUUUUGGAUCCGAUUUUCCCUCUGUUUAGUCUCCAGUUGAGAGUGCACUGAAAUCAGGACGAGUUUGAGUACGGUCGGACCGCUCAUCUUCACUCGGAUGCUUUGCUUGUUCCUGUUCAGAUUAUCUUUUCUUCUAUACAUUCCCCAAGCCAUAUCCUUAUUCCGUUCUUCGUGCCUUGUAGGAUCGGACCUUUGUUCCUUGUCUUGAUAUACCUUUGUGGAUCAGAGCAGAGGAUGAGUACUUUCAGGAUCAGGAUUUUUAGUCUCAGUCUGGGUAUAGUUUCGUGGAUCAGAGUAGAG
rnacentral:lncRNA from 1 species